UGUUUCUGUAGUUGAAUUACAACGAUGAUUUUUCAUGUCAUUGGUCGCAGUUGAAUGCUGUGUAGAAAUA
rnacentral:tRNA from 1 species